CUGGUUCAUCUGGUAUGGGAUCGACAAACUGUUACGUACGUAAACUACAAGAAUGUAGAAUAUGUAGAAGGCGUGGCUGGAACUGUUUAUUAACAGCAUCCUCAGGCUCCUUCGUCAUCCUCACCUGCUGGAACUCAAACAGAAUCUGCCUUGAACCAAACGGACUGAACCAGAAAACAGGCUUCAUCAUUAGUGCCUCUGCAGGUAUUUGAACACUGCUGGACUUUCUUUUGGAAGCAGAAACAAAGUGGAAGAAAAAAACUUUCUUCACUUUCUAAUCUAAGCUCACUGCCAUGGAACAUAACACAGCAGAAACUGACACUAGUGGCACCACUGAUACCAGUGAUGGAGCCGAUGGUGAAGCGUUACCAGUAGAGAUUAGACGUGAUGAUGUGAUGAACUCUAUCAUGUACGUGCAACAACACCCACAUUCCACCAAUGCUCAACUAUUCUCUUUCCUGGCUCUACUGAACGCUUAUGUUCCUGAGUCCUACCUCCGGAUGCGUGAGUGUCAGCGGGUCCUUGGACCACCUGAUCCCAUCCACGGAGGCCCUCCUUUUGAAGAAAGAAUGAGGCCUUUUGCUGUCUUCAUCAACACAUCCAGUCCUGAUGAAAUACGCAUCAUCAACCCAGAGAUUGCACAGAAGAUUGUCGAUGAACUGGCAACCUUGAAGAUUACCAGAAGUACUACAGUGAAGAAAUUCAUGUCUUUACUUUGUGAAA